UAGGUGAAUUACCUGUAAUAUGCAAAAUCUAGAUGUCGAUUUGUUCAAUAUAUGAACCAUGAUAACAUGACGACAUCCUGAUCCAGCUUGCCACAGUGUGCAUACUGUGGAAUUUAUAAACCGAAACUGCAAACUAUUUAGCGUCCUAUUUAUUUUCACCAAAUAACUACAUGGAAUAUCCUGAUGCAAUUUGUGGAGUCAUCCAUCAACAGGAUCCACCAGUGGAAUCCAACAGAAUUUAAAAUCGAAGUCUUGAGGUCC